GUGGGGAAUCUUGCGCAAUGGGCGAAAGCCUGACGCAGCCAUGCCGCGUGAAUGAUGAAGGUCUUAGGAUUGUAAAAUUCUUUCACCGGGGACGAUAAUGACGGUACCCGGAGAAGAAGCCCCGGCUAACUUCGUGCCAGCAGCCGCGGUAAUACGAAGGGGGCUAGCGUUGCUCGGAAUUACUGGGCGUAAAGGGCGCGUAGGCGGACAGUUUAGUCAGAGGUGAAAGCCCAGGGCUCAACCUUGGAAUUGCCUUUGAGACUGGCUGUCUUGAGUACGGGAGAGGUGAGUGGAACUCCGGGUGUAGAGGUGAAAUUCGUAGAUAUUCGGAAGAACACCAGUGGCGAAGGCGACUCACUGGCCCGUUACUGACGCUGAGGCGCGAAAGCGUGGGGAGCAAACAGGAUUAGAUACCCUGGUAGUCC
rnacentral:rRNA from 1 species